rnacentral:rRNA from 1 species
CGAUUUAAAGUGAAACCGCGAACGGCUCAUUACAACAGCAAUAAUUGACUGGACGAUAUUUUCCUUAAAUGGAUAACUGAGGUAAUUCUUGAGAUAAUACAUGAUCAUAUGCGGCGUGCCUCGUGUGCGCCGUUCAUUUAUUAGACCAAAACCAGGCGGCCUCGGUCGUUUUUUGGUGACUCUUGAUAACUCUGUCAAUCGCAUGACUUCACGUCGGCGAUGCGUCCAUCAAGUUUCUGCCCUAUCAACUUUUGAUGGUUGUGCAUUGGACAACCAUGGUGAUAACGGGUAACGGAGAAUKAGGGUUCGACUCCGGAGAGRRAGCCUGAGAAACGGCUACCACAUCCAAGGAAGGCAGCAGGCGCGAAAAUUACCCACUCUCAGUGCGAGGAGGUAGUGACGAAAAAUAACAAGGCUGAUCACUUUGUGAGCAGCUAUUGGAAUGAGUACAAUUUAAACUCUUUAACGAGACCUAUGAGAGGGCAAGUCUGGUGCCAGCAGCCGCGGUAAUUCCAGCUCUCAAAAUGUACUUAACCAUUGUUGCGGUUAAAAAGCUCGUAGUUGGAUCUUCGCGACGCGGAGUGGUUCGUUCAUUGAGCGAUCACUGCUCCGUGUUGCUCUCUUUUGUCGGUUUUCGGCAGGUGCUCUUCACGGAGUGUCUGUCGUGGCUGACGAGUUUACUUUGAAUUAAUUGGAGUGCUUAAAACAGGCGUUUCGCUUGAACAGUCUAGCAUGGAAUAAUGGAAUAGGACUUCGGUUCGAUUUUAUUGGUUUUAUGGAUCGAAGUAAUGAUUAGUAGGAACAAACGGGGGCAUUCGUAUUGUAGCGUUAGAGGUGAAAUUCUAGGAUCGCUGCAAGACGAUCGACUGCGAAAGCAUUUGCCAAGAAUGUUUUCAUUAAUCAAGAACGAAAGUCAGGGGUUCGAAGGCGAUCAGAUACCGCCCUAGUCCUGACCCUAAACUCUGCCAACUACCGAUCCGUCGAUGGUAAUUUCGCCUUGAUGGGGAGGUAAUCGGAAACGAAAGUCUUCCGGUUCCGGGGGAAGUAUGGUUGCAAAGCUGAAACUUAAAGAAAUUGACGGAAGGGCACCACCAGGAGUGGAGCCUGCGGCUUAAUUUGACUCAACACGGGAAAACUCACCCGGCCCGGACACUGUAAGGAUUGACAGAUUGAAAGCUCUUUCUUGAUUCGGUGGAUGGUGGUGCAUGGCCGUUCUUAGUUGGUGGAU